UUAAGUUCAGCGGGUAGUCCUACCUGAUUCGAGGUCAACCUUAAAAAAGUCGGGGGUUUUACGGCGUGGCCGCGCUGCUGUCCCAGUGCGAGGUUAAGUUACUACGCAGAGGUCGCCGCAACGGGCCGCCACUAAAUUUCGGAGCCGGCGCGAGCUAGGCUCGAUCGCCGCGCCCCAACACCGGCUUCUCGUCCGUAAAG
rnacentral:misc_RNA from 1 species